rnacentral:rRNA from 1 species
UACAGAGGUCUCAAGCGUUUGUUCGGAUUCAUUGGGCGUAAAGGGUGCGUAGGCGGCGCGGUAAGUCGGGUGUGAAAUCUCGGAGCUUAACUCCGAAACUGCAUUCGAUACUGCCGUGCUUGAGGACUGGAGAGGAGACUGGAAUUUACGGUGUAGCGGUGAAAUGCGCAGAUAUCAGGAGGAAUACCGAUGGCGAAGGCAGGUCUCUGGGCAUUAACUGACGCUGAGGAGCGAAAGCAUGGGGAGCGAACAGG